rnacentral:lncRNA from 1 species
CCCCAGCGAAGGGAAACAAAACAAAACGCCGGCACCGCCGCGCUCUCCCUCCUUCUCCUCCUGGCAUUUGGUGGUGGUUUUUUUUUCUUGGGGACUCUCCUUUCUCCUGCCAGACUGACUUGCACCUUCUCGAUUAUUUCUCUUCCCCUCGUUUUUUUAUACUCUUCUCCCUGCUUCCAAACCCUGUGUCUGUGUGUUUUAAUACUAUCACAACCUCUGCUAAAAAUAGAUCUUUUUAUAUACCCUUCCUCCUCUCUGAUCCCAUCCAACACCCCUUGUUAAGGAUCUGAUCUAUGAAGACCUGCUAGCAAGAACAGUACUUCCCAGGGAAAAUAUACCAGCUACUUGUGUGUUGCAGUCAAAGGUAACCCUGUGUUUGGAAAUGUGAAAUGCAAGUUUUACUGGAAUAGAAACAUAGUAUUUUUGCUGGAAUGUGAAUACUUUGAGAGGGAAAAAAAAAC